CCAGUCGGCCGGGCGGCCGCGAUGUUCCCGCAUCGAGGAAAGUCCGGGCUCCACGGAGAAACGGUGGCGGCUAACGGCCGCCGGGGGCGACCCCAGGGACAGUGCCACAGAGAUCGAACCGCCGAUCCGCCUUCGGGUGGAGGCAAGGGUGAAAAGGUGCGGUAAGAGCGCACCGCGGCGCCGGCAACGGGGCUGGCAGGGCAAACCCCACCGGGAGCAAGAUCGAAUAGGGAUGACGCGCCCGCGAGGGCAGGGCUCUCCGCCCCAGUCAUCCGGGUUGAUUGCUUGAGGUGCUGCGCGAGCAGUAACCCAGAGGAAUGGCCGCCACGCCGGGGCAACCCGGCCCUACAGAACCCGGCUUACAGGCCGACUGGUGAU
rnacentral:RNase_P_RNA from 1 species